ACUGAUCGUGGGGAUGGAGUCCCCCGGACAACCGCCUGCAGGGCUGAUGACUCCUACCGGUUU
rnacentral:ncRNA from 2 species